UUAGGCAGCCGGCGGAGCCCGUGCCGGGACGACUCGAGGUCUCCUUCUGCUCUGUAUCCAGAACCCGCACUCACCCGGCAGCGGCGGGGCUACGGUCAAGGACGACUCGCGGCGUCUAAGGACGCGUCCCCAGCUUCUCCGACCAGCAGAGGAAGUGGAAGCCCUGCGAUAACAGUUGCCGGAAGUGUUGCUUCUGUGUUUCUGGUUCAAUUUGUCGUGCAACUCUGGCGCCGCGUGAUGGUGGCAGGACAUUGCUUUAAAUUCAGCUAUCCUCCUCAACUGUAAAAAUACAUGAAUCAGAAUUGCAUCUUCUGGGAACAAAACUCUUGAGUAGAAACCAGAAUGCUUCACUUCAUCCAGAAAAUUUCUGGAGCAUCUUCAAAGAUACUAAAGAACCCUUUUACAGUGAGACUCAGAGCCAGCAGACUAGAUAUACUUUCUCCCAAGACAUGUCUUCCACGGGACUUUUCCUCUUUGUCUCCAAGAACUUGGCUUUCCACGUCAUUUCAAGUGUGUAUGAGGAAGAUACAAUGUUAUCAUGCGUCACCAUGCAACUCUAAAAAGCAGCAGAAGGAGGCAGUCCUUCCCCCCAAGAAACCAAGCACCAUCACUUACCUACGCGAUAGCCCAAAGCCAGCCUUAUAUACAACUCUGGUGGGGUUAAUCCCCUUUGCUGCCCCACCACUCAUCAUGGUAAUAACAAAGUCUUAUCUCCCCAUACUAGCUUUUACUCAGAUGGCCUAUGGAGCCAGUUUCUUAGCUUUCCUGGGAGGCAUUAGAUGGGGCUUUGUUCUGCCGGAAGGUAGUCCGGCCAAACCAGACUACAUUAAUUUAGCUAGUAGUAUGAGUCCUGUUCUGUUUUCAUGGGUAGCCAUCCUAUUUUCUGAAAGACUCAAUGAAGCCAUAGUUACAUUAAUAAUAGGUUUAGGGAUAGCAUUACAUAAUGAACUUUUCCUCUUACCACAUUAUCCCAACUGGUUCAAAGCCUUACGGAUCAUAAGUACUUUGGUGGCUUUUAUCUCACUUGUAAUCACUUUAAUCCUUGAAAAUAUUUAUCCAGAAAAAGGGCCCAGGAGAUUUGACUAAGUAGAAAUAUAAAACUACUUUCUUGAUAUCAUGUGCAGUGUCUGUGUAGGCCAGAAGUUUGUUGAAUGCCCUGGAGCUAAUGUUACAGGCGGUUCUGAGCCACCCAGUGUCUAGGCUGGGAACUAAACUUGUGUCCAUAGCAGUACAGUCUUGAGCACUGAGCCUGUAUCUCUACACUGAAAAGCUUCAUUUUAGCAUCACAAUCCUGUUUCUCUUGUUUGGUUCUUUUUUCUCCCUCCCACUGGUAGGAAUUUAUUCUUCAUACAUUGUUUGUUUUUGUUUUUUUCUAAAGAGUUAUCUCUUUUAGCCAGAUAGUAGUAAUACACACUUUUUAUCCCAGCAGAAAGGUGGCAAAAGCAGGUGGAUCUUUGAGUUUGAGGCCAGUUUGGUCUAUAAAGCAAGUUCCAGGACAGCCAGGGUUCCAUGAGAAACCCUAUCUGGGGGGGAAAAAAGUUACACUUACCUGCCUUUUGCCUCCUAAGUGUUGGGAUUAUAAAAAUUAUUUCUAAGUAAUUUAUCUUGAAAAUUUUCCUAAUUAAUGUUAGUUUACAUUUUUGUGUGUGACUUAUAUAGUCACAUAAGUAAAUAUUUCAGUGUUUGAUUAUACUGAGAAUAGUAAAAGACAAGAUGAAAAAUCCUGUAUUAGAGUCUAGCAAUCAUGAAGUCAUAUUUCAUGAGAAUUCUACUUGUAGUGGUUUGAAGAGGUUUGGCCCCCAUCGACUCAUGUGUUUGAAUAUGCUUGGCCCAGAGAGUGGCACUAUUAGUAGUGUGGACUUGUUGGAAGAAGUGCGACACUGUGGAAGUGAGCUUUGAGACCUUCUCCUAGCUGCCUGGAAGACAGUCUUCUGGUUUCCUUUGGAACAAGAUGUAGAACUCUCAGCAGUGCCAGUACUGCCCAUGUUUCCCAUCUUGAUGAUAAUGGACUGAAACUCUGAACCUGUAAACCAGCCCCAUUUAAGUGUUGUCUAAGAGUUGCCUUGUCCAUGGUGGUCAGAGAUGGAAACCUAACUAAGGUACUACCAGGAAGUUCAUGACACCUUAAAAAUAAAAGUAUUUCUGUCAAAUUUUUAUAGCACUUCUGG
rnacentral:lncRNA from 1 species